UUCCCCUAGUAACGGCGAGUGAAGCGGGAAAAGCUCAAAUUUGAAACCUGGCCUCUUCGAGGAAAAUGUCGCAGGGUUGUAGUUUAUAGAGGCGUUUUCGAUGGAAUCCUGGGUAUAAGUCUUUUGGAACAAGGCAUCAUAGAGGGUGAGAAUCCCGUCUUUGACUCAGAGUUUUCCAUUAUGUGAUACGUCUUCAUAGAGUCGAGUUGUUUGGGAAUGCAGCUCAAAAUGGGUGGUAAAUCUCAUCUAAAGCUAAAUAUUGGCGAGAGACCGAUAGCGAACAAGUACCGUGAGGGAAAGAUGAAAAGAACUUUGAAAAGAGAGUUAAACAGUACGUGAAAUUGUUGAAAGGGAAACGUUUGAAAUCAGUCAUUUCUUCUGGAAAUCAGCCUUGCUUUUGCAUGGUGUAUUUUCCAGUUGAAAGGUUAACGUCAAUUUUGGUUGUCGGAUAAAAGCCUUUGGAAUGUGGCUCUCUUCGGGGAGUGUUAUAGCCAAGGUCAAUACGAUGACUGGGAUUGAGGAUUCGCCGCCAAUGCUCUCUGGGCAGUGGCAUCAUGCGCUCAGGUUAACACUCUGCUAGACAGCUUGCUGACUAGUAGUUUGAAGAUUUGACUCGUGUGGUUCCCACUAAUUGGCGUAGGACGUUAACUUAAUGGUUUUAA
rnacentral:rRNA from 1 species